AAUCUUAUAUUUUAUUUAAAAAUAUUAAAUUGCAAAUUUAAAGAAAACUUUUGUUUAAGAUUU
rnacentral:tRNA from 1 species